AUAUGCUGCUAGCAUGGUGUUUACCAACUCAUUUUAGUUCACACUCGUAUUUCUUUGUAUACAGUUGUGCUUUCUCAGGUGCAUGCAGUUCGUCAGCACACGUAAAAGGAUUUGACUGCACCUGGCUCUGAAGACGUCUCGGGGUGGGGGGGGGGUCACUAAGUGAAGUGGCUCGUCAUUGUUGCUCGUUCUUCGUCUGGAAUUUAAAAAAUAAUAAAAAUGUUCCGGAGCAGAAACUGUAGCGAAGAUGGAUCUAACUUUAGUAGUGGAUCGCCGUUGCCUGGAGAACUGGCCAGCCCCCAAAAUAAACCAAAUUCGCCUGUUUCGGGGUUCACACAGGCGAAGAUUUUAGAAGGCAGUGACAUCUCGAGCAACAAGAACGUGCAGCUAAAGGCUUCCACUGGUUCUAAACUCUCACAAUCUGAAAAACGGUACCUGGGAGUGCGCGUGAGAAUGCCAGUCAGAGAUAUGCUCAGAAAAAUACGAAUAGCCAAGGGUCUGGAUCCCAAUACAAUACAGGGAAGCCAGGGAAAAUCAUCAAGGGCUACAGGAGAGAAAAAACGAGUAACAUCAAGUGGAGAUCGCAGAAAGAAGCUGAAUAAACGGCAAACAAGUCUGGAGGACCUGGCGAUCAUCGUGGAGGUUCUUGAGGAAGACCUCAAAGCCAGCGAGGUCCACAAACAGCCCCAGAACGAGGACAGCGUUUCCCCGCAGUACUGCCCCGACUGGCAGGGAAGCCCCUGGCCGUUUGACCUGCCCUGCUCCAGCCAGGAACAGCCUCAGGAGUACGGCUACCCCUCUGAGACGUCUCCCAGCAGCUCCCCGGAGAGCUGUGCCUUCUCCCCCCCCCCCCUGCCCUGCAGCCUCCACUCCAUCCCCCCUGACAGCCACGGGGGCCACCGCACCAAUGAGGGAGAGGAGAGGUCCGACGGCCGCUCCCCCCGGGCCCCCUGCUCCCCGGGCAGCCCGGAGUACCGGGCCCCGUCCCCAUCCGAGCUCCGCUUCCACAGCCCCCAGCCCCUGUCGGAGAAGGAGGGCCCCGCCCGGGGUCUGGGGGGUCUGGGCCAGUACUGGAGCUGCAUGUCCUUCUUCUGGUGUCAGCUGCAGAGGGAGGAGAGUCUUCUGAGAGGCGUCUCAGACGAAGAGCUCCUCGCCCCAGAUGGCAGUGGGAGGAUCCUGCUGCACAGAGUGGUGAGCCAGGGCAAGAGGGCCACUGUCUACAGCAUUGCCAAACGGUUGGCUUCCAUGGGCCAGCUUGACAUCAGAGACGCUGAAGGCAAGACCGCCCUCCAUCUCGCGGCUCAGAGGAACCAACACUUGAUGGUGGCAGACCUGCUCCUGCUCGGGGCCAGGGUGACUGAGAGGGACAGGUUUGGCAAGACGUGCCUUCACCUCUGCGCAGAGAAUGGAUAUGUGAGAGUCGUGGAGGUGCUGAACAACUUCAUGAACAACGGGAUGUACGUUGACGUGGAGGCAAGAGACAUAAAUGGCCUCAGUGCUCUGCAGUGCGCCACGCUGGCCCUGAACGUGGCGGUGCAGGAGCUGGAGAUGAGCAGCGGUCCGAGUGAGCAGCGCUUCUACACCCUGAGGAAAGAGCAGCUCCUGGACACGCUGGACUGCCUGCUGCUGAUCGGACAGUCGUCACACGCUCAGGUGAAGGGCGUGCCCUCGCACUGCCAGCUCAGAAACGCCGCAGGGAGGAGCCCAGCGGAGCAGGCUACUACGUUACGGAAGAUAAAAGUCAUAUGCACUGUGUCGGGUCUGUUUUAUCUUUUGCAAUGAAAAAAGGCAAAAAAAAAGAGGCUAAAUAACAAAGCAAAACAUGCAUGCAACAUGUCGUUGGCGAUGCUGCAUCUUUGAAGGAUUAGCUCAUGGAAUUUGGAAAGGGUCUAGGUACAAUGUGUUUCAGGGCAAUAUCAAAUUUAGCUUUCAGGACUAGGUGUGGGUAACUGGAGGCGCAAUUCCAGAGCCCUCCUGUACACGCACGCAUGGAUUGAGGAUUAAAGAAUGAUAAACUCAGAGAGCUGGAGAACAGCACCUGAAGCUAAAGCAUUUAGAGGAGAAUGCAUCUUCAGUCAGUUUCAGGAUUACUGCCUUUAAGACAGCGCUGACAUUUUAACUGCCAUGGAAAAUGUGUAGCUCUGAUUCAUCAGAGGAGGCCUGUACAAGCACAGAAAUGACAUGGUAGAUGUUCAGCAGGAGGAACCUGGAACUAGACUUAGUGUGACUCACUUUACAUUUGAGAAACACAUGUGCAGCUUCACAAGUUGAAAACAAUCACAAGUGCUCUUAGAGGAAUGGUAGUGUAAAAAAAAAAUUGUCCAUCCCCCCCCCCCCACACACAAAUAUCAUUUGCAGUUAAAUUGGUUUGGGGAACAUCAUUUGCAGUUAAACUGGUGUGGGGAACAUCAUUUGCUGUUAAGUUGGUGUGGGGAAUAUCAUUUGCAGUUAAGUUGGUGUGGGGAACAUCAUUUGCAGUUAAGCUGGUGUGGGGAACAUAAUUUGCAGUUAAAUUGGUGUGGGUAACAUUCACAUUCAGACUCUUCCAUGUGUCAAAAAAACCCAGCACAUCAGAAACUCAGACAAGCACACCGGCAUAACUGACUCACUUUGAAAAUGCAAAUUUUCUUCAUUAAAAUGAAAUUAGGUCAUUCAUGUCUUACAGAAUUAAACCCAGGUUUCAGUGCUGAUCUGAGCUCCAUUGCCUGUACUUUACCCUCCAUUUAGUGCCUUGAAACAUAUUUUUAAGAUUUGUGUGUGUGUGUGUGUGUACCGUGUAUCAUAAAAGAAACAAAAGCAAGGUGAGGCAAGCGUCUACAGUCCAUAUUAUGGGGAAUCAUGUGGACUAAGAAGCUGUCAGCUUUCUGUAGUCUCCUCAAUCUCCUCAAAACUUCAACACCCAUAAAACGAGGCUAUUAAGAUUACGCCACUUACUAGCCAAGUGGAUAAAGUGUAUCCUUGCUUUGUUAUUGUAAACACCUGUAAGCCGUGUUUCAAAAUCAUGUUAGCCUGCAAACUAAAAGCUCACUCCUUCCAUGAACACUUAUAAUAGUUCCCAACUCCUCCUGGGUAUGCCUCUAAUCUGUAAUUAAAGAUGGAGGGCGCCUGUACGUUGUACCGUAUGUGCAUACAUGACAAUCCUUGUGAACAAAUAUGUGCUCUUUCCUUCCUGACAGAGCUACGAGUCUCAGAUGAUGUGGGACGUAUUCCGCCACGGGUGCAGCUCUUAUGUGGACAAAGUGGCCAGCGCUCCACAGAGAAAAGCCUUCUGAGCGAGGCAGCGGGGAGGUGACCUGCAUGGUCUGAGUGGUUGGCCCCCAAGAGGCUGGUCUACCAAGCGGUUCACCGUCUCCCGUCUCCGUGUCUCACGAUGCCACAAGUGUGACUGCCGGAAAAGGCAGUCCCGUGAACCGACAGUAAACGUUAUGAAAUCGUGUCCCUUCCUGGACCUUAAAAUGUAUAUCCAGGGACAGAGGGCCUUUAUUUUGCGAGUUAAAGCUUACUCAAUCAGCAGCUACUAAAAGAGAUACACCAAUUCACAAACAAUAUGUUCAAAUUCAAAGCAAGAAAUCUUUUAGAGAGCUGGUUGAGACUGUGUGAAGCAACCAGAGUUCUAUGUUGGGUCAAAGGCAGAGGAACGUCCUCUGUGUUUAUCAGACCUGCUUACAGACCGUGGUUCAGAAUGAGCUGGUUUCUGUGAAACUUCCAAAGUUUGCUACAAUAAUGUAGUAUAUUGUUAUGUAAAUAUGAGUGUUGAGGAAAGUUAAUGGUCGAUGUGUUUCAGUGCUGGUAAAAGUAUUGAAUUCACACUAUAGGUAUGUGCCAUUGUGUGAUUGCAAUAUUUUAAUAGGAGUGCAAUGAAUGAUAUAAAUAGUUGGCUGAUAUUUUCAUAUACAGUGCAUUAUAUCCUUUUUGGUGUAGGUGUUUGUAUGUAUACAUCCAUAGAUGGUAGAGUUAUAUGUCAGUGGAAUUGAGUUCUCAGGACAUGAGAAAUGUAAAAUAUUUGAAUACUGUGUUAUUAUUAAAAAUGCUUGAUAAUAUAAUGCCCUUACAUUUUGCAUUUCAGCCAAUUGUAUUUUGUUUAUAUUUACUAAAUAAGAAAUGUUUAUAUUUAGUUUAUAUUUAGUUUAUAUUCAUCAAUUAACUUCUUAAAAAAGUACUAAAAACAUAACAGGUGAUAAACAUAACAGAUAGAUGUUAGAAGACAACAUAUGCAUUUCUUUGUUAAAUACAAUAUAAAAGGCUUAUAUUUGUUGUCUGCACUAAGAGGUACAUAUUUUACCACAUUAAUACUUUGUUUGAUGUUCUCCUACAAAGCAGAAUUAAUUAUCUAUGAAUAUGUUUAACAUUAAAUGUACGUAUUUUGGUGACUUCAUGUUUCUUUAUUACUCAACAUUAAAAUGUAAAUCUAA